UAUUUUUCAUCCAAUAUUUAUAUUUUAUAUCAGUUUUUAUUCAGUUGACAAAAACAAUUUGUAAUAGUUUUAGUUAACAAGAUGUAAGUUAUUUGGACAACUUAUAAGCCUUUUGCUUGUGUCUGUCUGUGUUUCUGUGUGUGUGUGUGUGUCUGUAUUUCUGUGUGUCUAUCUGUGUGUGUUUGUGUCUCUGUUUGUUUAUCUGUGUGUUUGUGUGAAACUAUUCCUUUAAGCCACAGUAUGUGUUAUUGCUGGUUUUCUGAGUGAGUUGUGGUGGUACUGCAGUGCAGCUGUGGAGUUGAUCUGGUUGCAUCAGUAUAAUCUGUGACCGCGCUCUGAUUCAUGAGCUCACUUAAUGAUUGAAUUGAUCAGUAUAAAGCAGAGAACAGUCCUCUCUCUCUCUCUCUCUCUCUCUCUUUCUCUCUCUCUGUCACUCUCAGCCUGCACAAGGUCCGCUGUGAGUGUGUUUCUGUAAAGAUGCCGUUCUGAUGUCCAGGUGUGUGUGUGUUCAGGAUGCAUUGCUCGCUGGCUCUGCGCUGUCUGUGUAUCUGUGUGCUGCUGUGUUUGUGCUGUCGAGCGUUUGAGCUGCAGGACACCAUCCAUGCUCUGAUUGAGGAGAACAUCCACCUCCACGACCAGCUGGAGAACCUGACGAGAGCCCUGCGAGAGCUGCGGGAGCUUCUGUUCCAGCACAGCGACGAUCACACUCAUGAGCAUGAUGAGGAACUUCAGCAUCUCUGGGAGGAAUGGUCACAGCACAGCAUCACACCUGAGACUCACCUGUUGUUGGAACACGCUCUCUGUGGACAUGACCUCCAUGGCUCCGCCCCCUCCAGUUCAGGACACGCCCCAUUAAUCAUUAUGGCUUUUAUAGUUCUUGCACACUUUCUUAUAUGAAGUGUGUAUGCAGACUUACAGUGAGAUGAGACUAUUCAAAUACAUUUGACAAUCAUUCAGAGCAGAUGAAUCCAAUCCAAUGUGGAUCAACACUGUGUCAAUCCUGAAGUUUGGUUUUGGACAAAAAAAGAAGGACAGUACAGAGUAGUUUAUCAGGUGAUAGUUUGAGGCCAGUGUGUGUGUUUUUUCACCUUACACAUUCUUGUCAGAGAAGUUUUUAAUGCAACUCAUUUUUAAUUCAGAUUGCUGCAGUUGCAACACAUCGGGCUGAAACUCUUGAUGAAGUUUUAGUAUUAAAUUCUUUUUAACUGUUCAUUGUCUUGUCAGUGACUGACUGUCUCUAUAUUAAUUUAUAUUAAACAAUUCCACAUGCAAUCAAUGAAAAUCAAGUCUAAAUGUGUAUUUAACUUUGUUUGGUAAUGUUGCAUGUUUUUAAUAAAUGUACAAAUGAAUACAAGGCAUGAAAUUAUAAUUUUUCCAAAUUCAGAUUUUGUUGUGAGAACAUUUUUAUUGGGUAUGUAAGCAACAAUUCCAAUUGAGAAUCUACAUUUUUAACCAAGUACGGAAAACUGAAAAACAACACAGCAAAACGGAGGACGUGUUCAGAUAAGAAGCGGAUUAUGAUGAAGCCGACAGAGACGAGAUUACUGACCCUUGAAUUUGAGAGGUGAAUUUUCACAAACAGAAAUGGCAGAGCAUUGAGGUAAUCAGAAUUCCAACCUUCUGACACGGAAUGUUCACAUGUUUUAAAAUUCCUCGUAGAACUUUAGAAAUAAUAUAAAACAAUAGUCUUGGUACAGUACGACUUUAGAUUAUUAUCAUUAAUACUAUAAACAAAAAUAAACAGGAUAGAAAAAUAAAAAACAGAUUGAAAAAUGCAAUAUAUUGUUCUCUGGAACACCAAAUUUACAAAUAAAAUAAAUCAACUAUCAACCGUACGAAUACUUAGCAUACGGACAAUUAAGUUACCUGGAGAGAAACUCCGUCACAACAGAGAAUUCGGUUAAAAGCGCGUUUGUAACAUUUAAAUAACAUUAAAUUAGCAAAAAGGGACCCACUGUAUACAUCAAAGCCUGCAGACUUAUACACACGGUCAUGAAAAAAAGCUUUGACCAUUAUUUGCGAAUGAUAAUGCACUUUCUGACAUCAGUUCUAGUUACAGAAAUGUUUUCCCUUAUAAAAGGCAUUAGUUGAUUUUUGGGCUAGUGAAGUGAAGGUACAAAACUGUUCUGUACCACAGAGGAGAGGACACACGCUUAUUGUGUAGUGCAUUCAACAUGCAGGUCUGCACAGAUGUGCAGCUAACGCUCAGACUGAAUGCCACAUCUGGAUUCAACAUGGAUUUCGGCCGGUAUUUCUGAGAGCACAAGUACAACAAGUACACAAAAUACACUAAAAUAAUUCAGAAUAACACGGGCACUAAACAAAAGCAUUGACUUUACAACAGCUUCAAAUGAGCACCAUUGUAACCAAGAUAAACCUGUAAUGGGUGAAUCUCACAAAAAAGUCAUAUUUUACCCAAAAUGUUAAAGAAAUACAUAAGCUGCUGUGAUAUUUUGUGCUUGAGAGUAAUAACUAUGGAUAUUGCAAAUAAUAAUUUUGAGAUAAAAAGUUGCAAUUAUUUUUGUUUGUUUGUUUAUUCUGCAACAAAAAUUGUAAGAUACAAACUCAGAAUUCUAACUUUGUCGCAAUUUCGUGUUAGCAUUACGAUAUUUUGUCUUUUUAACUCAGAAUUUCAAGUUAACAUCUUCCCAAUUCUGACUCUUUUUUUUUUUUGGCACAUUAAAAAGAUAAAAAGUCACAAUUAUUUUUAUUUAUUUAUUUAUUUUCUAUCAGAAACAAGCUUCAAUAAGAAAUGCCUUUGUCGAAAAGUGAUUUAUAUUAUUCUCUUCAAUAAAAAAAGUUAAAUUACAAAAGAUAAAGAAAUUAAAAGUACAUUUUGCAUAGUCAAAAGAAAGCCUUGUGGGUCCACUUCUUGCAUUUCUUGACAAUUAAACACAUUUUUGUCUGAAAUACGUCUAAAUAAGACUGUUACACUGUAAUGUUUUUUAGCAAUUCAAAAAUUCUGUAUAACUGUAAUAAUCUUAAUAGCAAAACAACCAAAACACAAGUUUACAAAAGUAACUAUGAAAUAUGUCAAAAUGAAUUUUUUUGCAGGGGGUAAAAAUGUGCUUGUCAUAAAAAUGUCACUAUGCAGAUCUUCAAAAUGUGCUUUCCUUCUCAUUUUGGGUGAAAUAUGACCCAGACCUGUUCUCAUGAGGGAUUCACCCUUAUUAACCCUUCCAACAAGACUCAAACCCAUUUGAUUGAGACACGCCCCCUUAAAGUGACAGGCUGUUUUAUAAACAAGGGUCAUGUAUGUUGAUAUUCACAGGUGUAUAUGCACCUUCACCAGUUCACUGAUCUGUCCCAUAAACACACACACACACACACAUUCACAGUCACUUUCAAAGCUCAUUUACACAAACACACACACACACACACUUCCCUGUCUGACGGAGUGUUAGAAUAACACGUUUGAAUGACAACACCCCUGAAUAACCUUCCUUAAUGAGACACACUAAAUAGUAUAAUCAAUAAUCUUUUUUUCUUUGUUUUCCUAUUGCACGUUAGCAUUUCUUUCUUUUUCUUGUGACAAAAUUACAAUAAAAAAUAUCAGUUAAACAAUAAGUGUAUAUGUUCAUAUUAUACCUCCCAAUGAUCUUAAUUCUCUUCAAUAAACUGUUGAUACUUAUUGUAACAGUAGGAGUAUUAUAAUAACUUAUUAUUAUUAUUAUUAUUAAUUUGAAAGAAAUCAAGCACCAAAGAAACAGGCUGACAGAAAGAGAAGAGAGAAAGACAAGAGAUAGAGAGCUUGACAGUUUCUACAGCCCGGAUGUCCUGAGUGUUCCUCCCUGCGAGAUGAUUGGCUUGUUUUCUAGAGGAGUCAAAUCUGAUUGGACAUCCGUGGCAGGUAAAGGCAGGAUUUCCUUUAGACUGUAGACAUCUCUAGUGCUAACUCCCCCAAAGCCCCGCCCACACCACUUCUUUCUGUUUCUGCAGUCCAAUCAGUGGCUGAAUGCUGAAGGGGGCAGGCUGUGGGGGGUUUGAUGAGUGCACACACACUCACAAUCUCACACACACACACACACACACACACACACACUAAAGGAAGCACACAGGUCCGACUUCGAUGUGAAAGCGUGAUGAGGCCGUUGUCUUUGGUAGGUUGUUUAUACGUACGACAGGAAGUAAGGCGGGGUCAGACACCCGGAACAGGAAGUCAGCAUGUUGCCAGCGCCCGUUUAGUUGCUGUGUAAUACAAAGCACAUGAUCAGUGAUGUCAUGCAUAAGUACAUCUCAGAAAUAAUUAUUUACUAUAAUAAUACUAGAUUAAACUUGAGUGGCCUUUUUAAAUUAUUUUGGUUAAAAUAAUGUAAGCAAUAUAUUUAGCUGAGAUGUAUUUUUUUUAUUGUUUUAUUUAAUUAUUAUUUAUUAUAAUAAAGAACCCUAAAAAUGACCUGAAAGUCACAUUGUUGCAACAAAACUUUUGUUUGUGUGUGUUUUCAAAAGCAGAGGUUUCCUGCUAACUUUGCCAGUCUUAUGGAGGAAAGAACUAUUGAAAGCAUCUAAUAAUCAUGUUUUUAAAAAUGCAUUAUUAAAAUCUAUUUAC
ensembl:lncRNA